GUAGUUGAGUGAAAAGUUGUAUUUUAGAGCCGUUUUGUUGGAAAUAAUGCUCAACUCGGCACUAGUUUGGUGUUUGAGAGACUAUACAUAUUCAUCCGCUUCGACAUGAGUGUCAAGAGCAGCCAAGUACCCGGAUGGACUGUCAUGGCCGCCGUCGCUGUGGUUCCACCGAGAGGAGCAGAGGAAGGCAAAUGUUGGAGCUGGGCGCUGUGGACGGCUUUACCUGCUUUUUAUCAUGUCGGACGUUAACGGGACGCCGCCUGAACUUCCAUCGAGUUCACGGUCUUGAGGUGGCCUCUUCAAGUUCCUCAGUCCGAGUCUUCAGA